rnacentral:lncRNA from 1 species
GGGCUUCCAAAUACACUUCUCAUAUUAACAAGAUUCGACAAGUACCUGGGAAAAACAAAGCAAGGAAAGGUGAAAGAAUCAGCAACAGUAGCAACUUGUAGCUCAGCAAAUAAAAAACAACAAAAACCCUGUUCUUCUAAACCAUUUUGAAGCUAGAAUGAACACAAUUCUUUGGAGCUUUUGAAAGGUCUGACUAAGAGGGAACUUAAAAAACAAAGCCAAGCAAAUUUUAAACAAUUUUCAGUCUUUAGAGUCUAAAAGAAGCUCAAUCAUUUUCUAAGUUUUUUCUGGUCGUGUAAUCUUUAAAAUCUGAGUUGAAAGAGAAGGAAACAUGCCUUUUAUAGAACACUUUUAGGGCAGCAGAAUUGGUUUCUAAUUUUACCCAUUACCCCCUUCUCUAAUUUUCAGUUUAUUCACUUUUACCUUGAGUUUUGGUUCUGUUUGUUAGGUCAAUCCCUUUCCCUACCUUCCAGGAAGCUUCCAAAUCAGUUACAAGAGAUUCUCUCAAUCAAAAUUUCUAACUUACCCUUUAAGCCUCCAUUAUUUACCAUUUAACUAUUAACCUGGGUUAGGAAUAAAGCAAGAUCCAACUAAACCAGUCUCUUAACUAGGUCAAUGAUGACCGUAAUUAAUAUGAGAACUAGAUCAAUCAGAAAUGACUACAUAAAAUGAACUAAAAAGGAACAAAUCCAGAAAAUAGAAAACAACUCAAACAAUUUUGAUUUUGGGGAUUGAAUUUAUCUUAACUCUUAACAUAAAAGGAAUUCGACUAACAAAGAAAGUCAGUCAAAAUAAAGAAACAAAAAAAAACUAAAAAAAUGAAAGAAGGAAAAACUACAAUGCAUGAAAUUAGUAAGAAAAUGAAAGGGAAAAUACCAAAAUGCCGGAAUGCCUCGACAACAUGAAAUACACCACCAGGAGCGAAUAUUGACCGAAAUAUGAUGAAUUCGCUCAAAAUCUGACAUCUUCGAGAUGAACUAAUACAAGUGAUAAUUGAUUGCUCUCAUUAAGAGCAAUCAACUAGCGUAGAUUAUAGGUCAACGCGAGCCCGAAUUUGCACGAGAUCAGAAGGAACGAGAAAGUUAGGGCUUGAACUUUUUAGAUUUGAAAUUGGGGAAAUUUUGUUGGGAUUUUCAGGAAAUAGGUGUGGAGAUAGGAUUUGGGAAGGUCUGGAGUUACCUGGUAUGAAUUUGGGCAGAUUAGGGUUCGAAGGCUUAAACUUCGAUCACAUAUUCGAGGAGUUCUGUGAUGAUUCAUAGGAAACCGAUGACGGAUUAGAUAUGAGGGGAUGAAUGGGAUGUUGGGGUGUGAUUUUUAGACAGAUUAGAGUGGCAUAGGGUUGUUCCGCCACCGGAGAUGGUGAGAUAUUUUAGGGCUGCGUUCUAGGGCUCUUUAAUCUCUGAUGGUAGAGAUGAU